CACGUAGGCUGUAAUGUAAGUCAGGGGUGAAAUCCCACGGCUCAACCGUGGAACUGCCUUUGAUACUGCACAACUUGAAUCCGGGAGAGGGUGGCGGAAUUCCAGGUGUAGGAGUGAAAUCCGUAGAUAUCUGGAGGAACAUCAGUGGCGAAGGCGGCCACCUGGACCGGUAUUGACGCUGAGGUGCGAAAGCGUGGGGAGCAAACA
rnacentral:rRNA from 1 species